rnacentral:miRNA from 1 species
CAGGGUUGUAUCAUAACCAACC